CUUAAUACCAGAUGGGGAAUUGUGCUGAUGGUAUCUCUUUCAAUUGCAUCUAAUUCCUUUCCAUUUGCAGAAGGAAUUUUCUUUUUCCUACAUGAUUUAGGUAAGCAUCCCAAAUCAUUUAAACAGGCCUUCAUUUCCCCCCUCCCCCGCCCUUCCUUUCCCCUCUUCUUCUUUUUUUUUUUUUUUUUUUUUUUUUUAAUAAAAGGUCUUAGAGUGCUGGAAAAGCACUUGAUAUCACAGCACAUUCUCUUCUCUGGUUCCAAUUUAGGAAACACACCUCUGUUAGUAAGUUUUUGCAAUACUAGGUUGAAAAACAUCUGCAAAUCUUGGAGACCAGUUGAAUAUCUGGCACUUCUUUAAGCUACCUGGCUUUCCAGCUCUGCAGCCUUGAGCCCUUACCAGUGCAUCUUUCAUAAUAUUCAUGUUUUAAUUAUCGCCAGUGCUUAUGGCAGUCUUUGAAAGUCAGAAGCUGUGAGGUUUGUCUUCAGUGCCCUGGGGGCUAUUUCAAGGGGAGGAACAGUUGUGAGGAUGGUUGGGUUUAUACCCCUAUUAUGCUUCAUGAGCACAGCAAACACUUAGCAAGAGCAAACCCCUUUAGCUGGGUUCCUUGUGAUUUAGGUUAUAUAGUGUUGCUGUACACCUCACAGGCGUUCCCUGAUGAGGUGCUUCAGAGGGAGUCUAUCCAACCUGUACAAGCUUUCUAGUUUUUCUCCUGGCAUGGGGUUCAUCCUGGAUAAGGACUGAUGACAGAUUCCCCACAACAGUCUCCUACACCUUCCCUAACCCCAGUCUGUUUGUUGGCUCUAAGAAAGGUUGGAACUCUUCAGGUGGCAGCCAGCAAGGCCAUCCCUGAGGAACCUGAAUCCUUUUUUGCCACAAAGAGCAAGAAGGUUUUUAUUAGCUGUGAUGGCCGCUCAACAGAUGAUUCACCACACUGGGCUUGGCUCUCUUGCAGCAUGUGAUAAAGGCAUUGUUAGUAGCUGCAUCAAGCAUCUAGUGUGCGUCUUUGGAGGAGCCAACAGUCAUGCAUACAACUAAGCAAGGAAUUUGCUGCCACAGGCAGUAGCUACACAGAUGUAAUGUCAGCAAGUUCAAAGAAGACAGACAAGGUAUUACAGUAAGGAGGGGAGGAUGUGUGCUCUACCAUCCCCAGUUAAUGACCGUGAAAGCUGGGAGGGCUGUGGAGUGAAUGGACUUCAGAGAGUGACCAGGCUUGCACGCUCUCUCUGAAGAUUGUUGCAACUGUUGAAGAACCAUUAGGUGAGAAGACCGUGGUCUUGGUUUAACUUAUGCGAGUUAUCUAUGCGACAGAUUUCCCCCAGUCCUCUUCAUUCUUCUGUGCUCACAACUGUUGCUGAAAAUGCGGUUUGCAUUGCUGUGCAGGAGGCUUACUUUGCACACUUGAUUGAUGGUGGCAUAUACUUCUUCAAACAAUGGAUGUGUUUCUGGUCACUCACGUCCUACAGCAAAAUUAUUUAAUUCCAUGCUUUCACAUGUGUAGUCUGUGCUGAAGUCCUGUAUGAAUACCAACUCAAGCAGGACUGGUGGUCUGCGUGAGAGUAGAAGGGCUCUGUAGAGAGCUCUGGAUUGUGUGGUUGGUAGGCUGGGUCCAGUUGUGUGACAUGCAACUAGACGAAAUGUGGGUGCUGCAUUAGGGUCACAAAAUUUUCAUGCGGUGAUACAGGCUUGGGGAAGAGUGGCUGAAAACCUACCUGGCAGAAAGGGCCUUGGGGGUGCUGGUUGGCAGCCAGAUGAACAUGAGCCAGCGGUGUGCCGAGGUGAUCAUGUCGUCAUGACCUGCAUCUGCAGUAUGGCCAGCAGGACUGUGGAAGGGACUGUCCUGUUGUACAUGGCACGGGCACCUCAAAUACUGUGUUCAGUUCUGAAGAGUAUAAAAGAAGGGUAUUGAGUUGCUCAAGUGUGUGCAGAAAAGAGCGAUGAAGAUAGUGAAGGGACUAGAAAAAGAGUGUUAUGGGGAGCAGCUGAGGGGAUUGGGUGGGGCUACUCAGUCUGGAGAAGAGGAGGCUGAGGGGAGGCCUCAUCACUCUACAGCUGUCUCAAAGUAAGCUGAAGCAAGGAGGAUGUUGGUCUCUUCACUUGGAUGUCUGGCGAUAGGAUGUGAGGAAAUGGCCUCAAGUUGUACAGGGGGAGGUUUAGAUUGGUAUGAGGAAGAAUGUCUUUGUGUAGACGAUGGUCAGUCAUUGGAAUGGGCUGCUCAGGGAAGUGAUUGAGUCGCAAUCUCUGUAGGUAUUUAAGAAACGUGUGGAUAUGGCAUUAGGAGAUUUGGUUUAGUGAUGGGACUUGAUAGGUCAGGGUGAUAGCUGGACUUGAUGAUCUUGAAGGUAGUUCCCAACCAAGAUGAUUCUAUCAUUCUAUUAUAUUGAAUAUCCUCUCCUUGUAAUGCAAACACAGUUAUGGACAUAGUUGAUAUACAGUAGGCUUCACCAUUGGGCAGCAAUUUUGCAUCCUUUUACAGUUGCUCCUAAACUGUGGAAAAAGUUGAUGACUUCCAACUCAAACAAACUGUCCUAGUGGCAGAGCACUGGGCAUUUACUGCACCUUGCACUGGGGCUUUGCUGUCCUUGGAGAGUUUUGUUCUUUCUGUGGUUACUUCUACAUAGACACUUCACUCCAGGGGCACAGCAAAUGUGCUUCUAUCCAGACAGGGACAUGGGGCCUGAAUCAGUGAUGGCUCCCUUGAACAGCUUCCGAUCCAAAAAUGUGGACAAAUUUGGUCCAAAUGAUAUUGGGAACCAUGCUAAUUCUAGGCUGAAGUAAACACCUAAACUGUAUAUAUUGUACAUGUGGGGACCUCAGUUUGGAUAUGCUCUUUUUGUGUGGAAUGAUUUAUUAAUGUAAACAGAGCCUCUUUCUCAAUUAAUAGCCUUUGUUUCCAUGCUGUAUUCCUUUAAGAUCAAUAAAGUAUGUUAACAUUAAUAACUUGGUUUCAAUGAGCCAAGCCCUGAAAAUCUGGUUUUUGUUCUUUUUAAAGGGGUUGCAGUCCUGAGAACUAAGAUUUUCAUGAUAAACCCAAAGGAAA
ensembl:lncRNA